rnacentral:lncRNA from 1 species
UACGCGCCUCUUCCCCGCCUCCUCCCCAGCCUUGAACGAGGCGCUGGACGCUUUUCCCGGCGGGAGGAAGCGCACGAAAUAAAAACAAGUGUGUCCGCGCUGAGGGAGGGGGAUUUCUGCAUCCCCUCACCGACCGAGCCGCCGUGCCCUGUUGCGGAGCCGGGAAAGCGAGGCUGACAACAGGUUGUCUGGAGAGUUGGCUGGUGGACAAACUGAGAAGAGGCUGUGGACAUGAGGGACUCUUAGCUCUUUGGGCACAAUGCCUGAACCGUGUAUGGCACAGAACCUCCUUGUGUUGGAUUAGUGAAGUUACCUGGAUCCUCAGGAAACAGCUUCAAGGUCUCAUACCUUCAAAAACAAGUCUUUUAAAAAAUCUAGAAUCUGUGGAAUCUGCAAACAAGUAAUUGACAGCCAAGGAAUUUCUUGCAGAGUUUGCAAAUAUGCCUGCCACAGGAAAUGUGAAGAAAAG